GACGAACGCUGGCGGCGCGCCUAACACAUGCAAGUCGAACGAGCGAGAGAGAGCUUGCUUUCUCGAGCGAGUGGCGAACGGGUGAGUAACGCGUGAGGAACCUGCCUCAAAGAGGGGGACAACAGUUGGAAACGACUGCUAAUACCGCAUAAGCCCAUGACCCGGCAUCGGGUAGAGGGAAAAGGAGCAAUCCGCUUUGAGAUGGCCUCGCGUCCGAUUAGCUAGUUGGUGAGGUAACGGCCCACCAAGGCGACGAUCGGUAGCCGGACUGAGAGGUUGAACGGCCACAUUGGGACUGAGACACGGCCCAGACUCCUACGGGAGGCAGCAGUGGGGAAUAUUGCACAAUGGGGGAAACCCUGAUGCAGCGACGCCGCGUGGAGGAAGAAGGUCUUCGGAUUGUAAACUCCUGUUGUUGAGG
rnacentral:rRNA from 1 species